AUAUUCACUUGCUGUGUCUCACAGGUUAGAUAUAUGAGAUUCAGCAAGUAUCUUCAGGCUCCCAGUAAAGAUAAACAAGUACUUUCAAAAGUUCAUUCAUUUCACCCUAAGAUAGGAGUCUUAGGUAGAUUAAAUAAGGUGGUGGUAGAGAAUAGAGCCCGUUGAAUUGCAGGGACACUUAAGCCAUGGUCUGGUUGUAGCUGAUGAGUCCUACUGGCUUCUUUUCAUGCUCCAGCUUACAAGAACUGCAAACAUUUAGUACUCACCAAUAGAGCACUGCCAGAGCUGAGCUGUACCUGGAUGCAAGCCAGUAAAGCUGUGUGGUGUGUAUAACACCGUAUGGCUCAAAAGAUAUGAGUUUCUACUAGUUUGGGGAUUUUUCCAUGAUACAGGCAUUGGCUGCUGAAUGUUAGUGCCCAUGGCACUAGUCUAGAAGAAAUGUUGGACCUACUCCAAAUUCUUGUCUCUGGACUGCCUGUGAAAGAGAACAGAUCCUCAGGAUCACAAAUUUGAGCUAUUUUUAUCAUGUCUGAAAGAAAAUCCCACAUCCUUCCCAUUCACCAUCCCUAUGAAACUAUGGGGAAUCAAACCUCAGUGGUCCUUCUUAGGGAAGAUCUGAGCUGAGGAUUGCAGCUUACGUUGGGCAGCAGUUCCUUCAAUUGGGAGCUGGAAGGGGAUCAUCCUCCUGGAGGGGUUCCUCUCCAAUUUUGGGAUGUCUGAGGUCCAUGGCAGAGCAAUUCCCUUAAUAAAUGGUGCUUUCUCCCACUCUGUCCUGCCAUGUAGAGGGAAGCUCAAAGGUGUGAUCUUGCACAUUGCACACAUGAUCAUAUGCAAGGAAAUAAAGCUUAACCAAAGGAUGCUGUCAGGGCUGUCAGCACAAUGUUUGUCCCUUUUCCUGAACUUCAGCUGUGAGGCUCUGUUGGUUGCAGCUACCAAAGGUUUUUUCUCAAGAAUUGGUGGCAAAGGUGCCCUGCUUUGGUGUUGGAUAUUAGAGAUAUUUUUUUUUUUAAUCUUUUUUUUUUUCUUUCCAGAAAGAGUGCUUUGGCAUAGGCUGCCAGGGACAUGGUGGAGUCAUCAUCCCUGGAGGUGUUCAAGGAAUGUGGAGAUGUGGCACUGAGGGACGUGGUCAGUGGGCAUGGUGGGGGUGGCUUGGGGUUGGACUUGGUGACCUGAGAGGGCUUUUCCAAUCUGAACGAUUCUAUGAUUCUACAAAAUCUACUUAUAAUGUUCAUAUUUAUAAUGUUCCAUUAGCAAAUUGCUUAAGCACUCCUGGAUGGAUCCAAGGGGUAAGCAUAGCUAGAAUGUCAUGCUGCCAUAGCACACUUCUAAAGACAGCUCUGCUCUCUUGUUCUCUUUAUUUAUCACAGUCGGUGUCACUAUGAAAGCAUGGGACAUGCUCAGCCAGGCUGGCUGCUGUGAGGCAGUUUUUAAUAGCAGAGAGAGCACCUUUCUCCCUCUUGUCCUUCCCUUUGGAGCAGCUGGUCUGGGUUGACGUGAAUUUGGCAGCUUGUUCUGAAGAAGUGCAUCAGUGUCUGAAAGGGUAAAGGGUAUUUCAAGGUUAGGAAACAAUUUAUGGCCCUGACCUGGUGAAAUGUGACAUUGGAUGCGGGGUGUGGGAUGAUUCCAGUUGCUGGGACUGGGAACACAUUUCCAAAGGGGAAAUAUAGGUGAGGAUGCAGGACUGUGCAAUGGUAUACAGUGGGAAGACAAAGAUAAGGGAAUUGGAUCAGGUGGAGAAAGAGACAACAAAUGCUGAGGGAUGGUGGUUUUGAGGAGAGAGACUUGGUUGACCUUCUUGUUUAUUCUGGAGACCAUGGCUGACCCAUGUGAUGGGUUUAGGGUUGGGUUGAUGGUAGGACCAGAUGAUCGUAGUGGUCUUAAAUGACCACGUAAAUGACCUUAAUGAUUCUAUGAUUCUAUGACUAUGGUUUGUUCAUCCAGUAUCUGCUUUUGCCUUGACUCCUGUGGAAUGAAACAGAGGAUGAUUAUCACAGUUAGUCUCUUUUGGUUGAUCAGACUGCAAAAAGGAGACGUUCCCCACCAGCUGCUAGCACAAUGCUGUCUCAAGCUAGAAUGGGGUAGAAAUAGAAAGAUGUUGAGCAAACAUGCACUCAAACACAGCAAAAGGGAUUCUUUGUAGUAUAUUCCACUCAUUCUCAGGGCCAAAACCGAACAGCUUUGGAAAUUGAAAGUGCUUUCCAGAUGAAUUUUCUGGGCCAGCAAAAGUCUGGCUAUCUCUGUGUAUCUGUCUUGUUCUCAGAGCUGGGUGAUGUUUCUCAUAAAAAUGCUUCUCUAGGAGAUUUGGCAAGUGCAGCUUGGUGGCACCGGAGUGUUUUGCAAGCACACAGAGAUUUUUGCAAAGGGUUUUCAAAAAAUAUGAAAAGGAUAAUGAAAAUUACCAGCUUCAGCUUCUGAAACAGCUUCUGAUUUUGGAGAGUUCUCUCAUUCUUCUAUGCAAAAAAAAAAUACUCAGAGAUCUUCAAUGAUUGAAAUUACUACAGUUUGGGCAAAAGGGAACAUUUUGACCAAUCUGGGAUAAUCUUUCUCUUCCAUUUCCAACUAAAACUGUCAUCAAGUAAAACAAAAAACCCAAACCUGUUUUUGUUCAUCAUGAAAAAGACUUUUUCCCCCCAAAAUCAGGAAAUUGCUCAGUGGCACUCUAAAAUAUAUAGUAGCAUGAUUUUCUGGUUGGUUUCCUCUUCCAAGUCUUUGUUGUGCAGCUGCCAAGCAAUAACCUUUCUGCAGUGUCUGAUGCCUGUGGCACAGGGAUGUGCAAAGCCCAACAUGUAAACAGCUCAGCCUGGGCUGAGGGACGUCCAGAUGAAAACGUGUUAAACUUCAUAAGCUUUUUUUUUCUUCUUCUUUUUUCAAUAUUUGAAAUAACUCAGUGUUGUGGCAAGGCUGAAUCUUCAGGUGGAGCAGCAAAAUGUGCAGCCUCUGUAUGGACUGCAAAUGAAUUUUCUGCACGUGGCUUUGCUGGGUCGCUCAUGGGAUGGAGAUGGUCUUUGUAGAGCUGCAACUGCAUGGAGAUGGAGUGCAUUUCUAGGGGCUGGAGGUUGGUGCCAUCCCAACCCUGGAAAGGUUUGGGGGUGGUGAUGACUACAUUGCCAACGAUGGGGAAAAAAAUAAACACCUUGAUGUC